AGAAACUCUAUUAGAGUUCUCUUUCCUUUCUCCUUCAUAUUGCAGAUUCUAAUCAUUGAUCGAGCUUAUAAAGGUGAACUCCUUGGGUGCCUUGCUCUUGCCUGAAGAAAAAGCUAGGUGCCCCUUCAUACAGUGUGAUAUGGACUGGACCGUCAAAUUAGCUCAAACAUCAUGGAUCAUUUGGAAUUUUACUCACAUUCUAAACAUUAAAAAGAUCUCAAAAGCAUUGACAAGAAAGGGAGCAAGCACUAUUGACGAGGAUUCGCCCGUGUGGAAGUUGUCAUGGCCGUUCAGCGUCAUGUUAAACAUAUGAUUCCGAUUUCCGAGUCUCUGCUUGCACCAUCGUCGAUGAUCCAUAAGUGUAAUACUUAUCAUGGCUAUUCAAUGUCAUGUUACCCUCAAACAUAUGAUUCUAAGUCCUCGCUGGCAUCAUUGGUGAUGAUUCACCUGAGUAGAAGUUACCAAAGGAUGUAAGCAUCAUGUUUCCCACAAAAUUCUGAUUUCUAGUCACCGGACUUGCUUGGAGCUUUGGAGCCUGAGCCAACAAAGCAGUCAAGGAACUACUCGAAAACUUGAAUGUUGUAUUUUGACGAGGCUCCCUCAUCAGUUUUUUUUUUUUUUUUAAAUUGCCAUUGGUGGCUGCCGAUUUCACAAUAAAACUCAAAUUCACAGUGAACUCAUGGUCAACAAUGACAACAUGGCAAAAUUAUACUCUUUUUAAAAGUUUCAAG